rnacentral:rRNA from 1 species
UAAAGAAUUUCGGUAUGGGAUGGGGAUGCGUUCCAUUAGUUAGUUGGCGGGGUAACGGCCCACCAAGACAACGAUGGAUAGGGGUUCUGAGAGGAAGGUCCCCCACAUUGGAACUGAGACACGGUCCAAACUCCUACGGGAGGCAGCAGUGAGGAAUAUUGGUCAAUGGACGAGAGUCUGAACCAGCCAAGUAGCGUGAAGGAUGACUGCCCUAUGGGUUGUAAACUUCUUUUAUAUGGGAAUAAAAUGUUCCACGUGUGGGAUUUUGUAUGUACCAUAUGAAUAAGGAUCGGCUAACUCCGUGCCAGCAGCCGCGGUAAUACGGAGGAUCCGAGCGUUAUCCGGAUUUAUUGGGUUUAAAGGGAGCGUAGGUGGAUUGUUAAGUCAGUUGUGAAAGUUUGCGGCUCAACCGUAAAAUUGCAGUUGAAACUGGCAGUCUUGAGUACAGUAGAGGUGGGCGGAAUUCGUGGUGUAGCGGUGAAAUGCUUAGAUAUCACGAAGAACUCCGAUUGCGAAGGCAGCUCACUGGACUGCAACUGACACUGAGGCUCGAAAGUGUGGGUAUCAAACAGGAUUAGAUACCCUGGUAGUCCA